AAUUAGGACUUUAUAAAUCCUAUUCCAAGUAGGACUCUAAUUUAAUUUGAAAUCCUAAUCCAAUUAGGACUUCAUGAAUCCCACUCCAAGUAGGAUUCAUAAUCAAGUCCAAUUAAUUAAAUCUAAUUAAUUAAAUUAAAUUGCAAUCCGAUUGCAAUUGUUCCUUCUUCCAACCACUAACUCUUAGCGGGUUAUCCAUUUAUCAAUCUAAUUGAUUAUUUGUGAUUCCUAAUCACAUUCAACCAUCGGAUCGGUCAAUACCUCUAAUGUGUGUGACCCGAUAGGUUCUAUUCUGACUGGUAGUGAGAUAUAUUGCGAUCUCUAUCACAAUAUCAUUGAAAACUCCUUUCAAUGGGUUGAAACAAUUUCAACUCAACUCACCAGGGAUUAUCGACCAUCGAGAUGAUCCCUGCGAGUCUCACCAUCCACCAGUGACACCUAGCAGUAUGUAGUGGCCACCCAGCAGAAUAGAAUGAUGAACCUCUAGGUGCAGUUAUCGUAUGAUACAGUCCUUCUAUCGUGGAUCCCUACAGACCGGAGGUCAUGGAUAACUCGUCAAACCCCGUCGUCUGUCAUAUGUCUAGAUUUGUUCGACUUGAGUUCGAGAGUAGAAAACUCUUUUCCACUAUAUAUUCUGCCCUGGCCAAGGUCUUAGAACUCAGUCUAAUAAAUCACAUAGGAUCACUCCUCAUCUAUCAAGGUCGAUAGAUUCCAUGUAAGUGCGUACCCUACUCCUACAGUGAACCUACUGCAGCCAAUCUACACAAUAAGGACCUAUAUGACUAGAGACCAUGUAUAUGUGCAGUCAAACUAUAAUAACCUUACUGUGAAUAGGCGAAGCACCGCAGGUUAAAAGACCAGUCACACUACUGCAACAUCAAGCAAGUCAUUGACGAGUGGAUAGACAUCCAAGUGACUUCUUGUCUUGGUCACG
rnacentral:lncRNA from 1 species